CGCAGAGGCAGGGAGGCCCGCCCUCCGCAGGAGGGACCUGGGCGCCGGGAGCGCGAGGGAGGCCGCGCUGACUAGUACAAGUCGGUGCAGCGCCGGCCUCACCUGGCCGCGAGUUUGAUUUCAGGGUGUGGCUCCAGAUGCUCCAGCCGCCUCCUUCCAGGCCCUGGAGGUGCUGCGGGCCCACCCACACCCCCUUGGAGAGCCCCGGCUGGAGUCCUGCCACCUGCCACCUGCCACCUUGGCCUGUCCGUCUGGCUGGACGAGGCCCUAAGACGGUCUUGGGCAGGAAAGCUGGAAUGAACGAGAUUCCAGUUUCCUUGUCAGACCCUGCUCAGUUCCGAGAACCCUCUGGUUUCAGGGAAGUGAGAAGACCCUUGCUGUCCUAGACCCGGCCCCCAGGAAGGCCUGUGUCCAAUUGGGUGUUGAGAGGAUUCUGGCUUGGAGAUUCAGCACAUCUGCACUCCAAAUGGCCCCCAGGCAGAGGCUGGGUGGCUGCAGUCACAGCAAGCGGACCCAGGACUGCAGAUUUCUGUCACUGUUGGGAACUUCAAACUUCAGUUGUUAACUGAGGUCACUACUGUCAUGUGUCAUUUUUGUUCAUUGAUCCUUUAGAUAUAUCAAUGCAAUUUA